GACGAACGCUGGCGCGCGCUGUCUAACACAUGCAAGUCGAACGAGCGAAAGAGAGCUUGCUUUCUUGAGCGAGUGGCGAACGGGUGAGUAACGCGUGAGGAACCUGCCUCAAAGAGGGGGACAACAGUUGGAAACGACUGCUAAUACCGCAUAAGCCCACGACCCGGCAUCGGGUUGAGGGAAAAGGAGCAAUCCGCUUUGAGAUGGCCUCGCGUCCGAUUAGCUAGUUGGUGAGGUAACGGCCCACCAAGGCGACGAUCGGUAGCCGGACUGAGAGGUUGAACGGCCACAUUGGGACUGAGACACGGCCCAGACUCCUACGGGAGGCAGCAGUGGGGAAUAUUGCACAAUGGGGGAAACCCUGAUGCAGCGACGCCGCGUGGAGGAAGAAGGUCUUCGGAUUGUAAACUCCUGUUGUUGAGGAAGAUAAUGACGGUACUCAACAAGGAAGUGACGGCUAACUACGUGCCAGCAGCCGCGGUAAAACGUAGGUCACAAGCGUUGUCCGGAAUUACUGGGUGUAAAGGGAGCGCAGGCGGGAAGACAAGUUGGAAGUGAAAUCUAUGGGCUCAACCCAUAAACUGCUUUCAAAACUGUUUUUCUUGAGUAGUGCAGAGGUAGGCGGAAUUCCCGGUGUAGCGGUGGAAUGCGUAGAUAUCGGGAGGAACACCAGUGGCGAAGGCGGCCUACUGGGCACCAACUGACGCUGAGGCUCGAAAGUGUGGGUAGCANACAGG
rnacentral:rRNA from 1 species